CCCUUAGAUGUUCUGGGCCGCACGCGCGCUACACUGAUGCAUUCAACGAGUCUAAAACCUGCUCUGAUAGGGGUGGGUAAUCUUUUGAAUGUGCAUCGUGACUGGGAUAGAUGAUUGCAAUUUUUCAUCUUCAACGAGGAAUGCCUAGUAAACGCAAGUCAUCAGCUUGCAUUGAUUACGUCCCUGCCCUUUGUACACACCGCCCGUCGCUCCUACCGAUUGAAUGAUCCGAUGAAUAUCAUGGAUUGAGGAUGCAAGCAGGUUCGCCUGUCUUCAUCUUCGAGAAGUGAAGUAAAUCUUAUCAUUUAGAGGAAGGAGAAGUCGUAACA
rnacentral:rRNA from 1 species